rnacentral:lncRNA from 1 species
AAGUAUAAACAGUGACUUGUUUAGUAGUAAGGUGGUGGAGGUGACUUAUAGAUGUACGGAGGGGGUGGGGAAUUGUAAACAUAAGGAGGUGGAGGUGGAGAUUUGUACAUAUACGGAGGAGGUGGUGGGGACUUGUACACAUAUGGAGGAGGUGGUGGGGACUUGUACACAUAUGGAGGAGGAGGUGGGGACUUGUACACAUAUGGAGGAGGUGGGGACUUGUAGAGAUAUGGUGGUGGGGACAUAUAGACAGGAGGUGACUUGUAUAUGUAUGGAGGUGGAGGUGAAGGGGGUGACAUGUAGACGUAAGGAGGAGAAGGUGAUGGUGAUGGCGAUGUGUAGACAUAAGGUGGAAGAGAUUUAUGAUCGCGUCCAUAAGGUGGCUUGUAAGAAUAAGGCGGCUUGUAAGAAUAAGGCGGCGGGGACAUGUAAACAUACGGUGGUGGAGGCGGUGGCGACUUAUACAUGUAGGGUGGUGGAG